UGGGGAAUUUUGGACAAUGGGCGCAAGCCUGAUCCAGCCAUGCCGCGUGCAGGAUGAAGGCCUUCGGGUUGUAAACUGCUUUUGUACGGAACGAAACGGCCUUUUCUAAUAAAGAGGGCUAAUGACGGUACCGUAAGAGUAAGCACCGGCUAACUACGUGC
rnacentral:rRNA from 1 species